rfam:Schistosoma haematobium scaffold651_12, whole genome shotgun sequence.
AUCUAGCUGACAAGUCCCAAAUAGGAUGAAACAAGCGUUCUGGAU